CUACUAUUAAGAGCAAACUGGUGAAUGCCUGGUGUCACAUUUUCAGGAUGGACAAUAAUACCCCCCACGUCCUCAAUUCAUAUUUCCUCCCUUAAACCACCCGGUCCGCACUCCUCAAAAAUAGCUAACCAUCUUAUCUUAUCUUAUCUUAUCUUGCUAAUAGGAACAACUACCUUGAUGGAGUUAUCACAGUUUGACUCAAUUUACCACACGCAUAUCAUCAUGGCAACCCAUCGUUUCCGACUCUGGUGGCGUGGCAUCGCCGCACCGAUGGGUGGGACUGCCAGGCGCAAAUCUGGAAGGUGUAGAAGUGCGAGUCGGCUUUCCCAUGGUGCGUGCACGUCGCGGCCGCCGGUAGCUCUUUGGAUGAACGGGGCGACUGAAUUUUUUCGGCUCUUUGGAUGGAGGAGGGAGGGAGUAGAUCGAGGGUUAAGCAGCGACCAUGGCGUGUGGUCUACCGCGUACGCCUCAUUUGCCGUGCGCAAGAGAAAUUGAGAAAAGAGAUGAGAAUAGCUGGAGACAUAGAUUUGGCUUGUGUGUUUACUGCUGCUGCCGCUGACUGCUAGCGCGCGUGUUUGCCUGCCAAUUGCAAAGCGCCUCGGGCCGGCAACCAGCGGGCCACGCCUCCAUCCAACGGCACCGCGUUCAGGUUUUUUUGACAUACGAAGUGGUGAUCCUAUUACUGCUUUGUUGACUUCUGUCAUGUCUUUGGAUACUUCACCGUUCAGAUUAUGUGGUGAUCUUGCUUAGCUUAUGUAAGUAAUUAGUCUGAGAUGUUUGAUUUAUUGAGAUUGCAGAUCCGA